CCUCGCCCACACCACUUCCGCCAAACCCGGCCGGCCGACCGGCUCCGCCACCAUAGGCCGAGGCGGCCGUCUACGUCAUUCCAGGAGCGCCAAUCAGGGCGGCGAGAGGCCGACAGAGCGGCGGAGAAUGUUGGUCAGUGGUGACACAGGACUGAUUCGGAGAUUUUCAAACCUGCCUACACAUUGCAAUCAUCUAGCACCUUUUGAGUGCCGCGCCCCAGAAAAUUAAAUCUGAAUUUCUGCAGGAAGGAUCCAGGCAUCGAGAGACAGAGCACGAGCAGGGAAGGGGCAGAGAAAGAGAGAGACAGAAUCUGAAGCAGGCUCCAGGCUCUGAGCUGUCAGCACAGAGCCGAACACGGAGCUCAAACCCACAAACUGUGAGAUCAUGACAUAAAGUAAGUACUGACCAUGUUUCAUUCUCUCCCUGGCUCCUAUCAAAAUGUUUAAAAGACAAUAGAGACUAAAUUAAAAUUUAUUAAAUGAAUGAAUGAGGUAUAUUUGUUAUGAUCAAUUUGUCAAAUGAAUCAUACAUCUAAAAAUUAGCUGAUGAAUGGGAGAAUAUUAAUCUAGGAGAAAUUUAGAAAAUUAUAAAGCACCAAUAUUAACAUAAAGAAUUUUCCAAGAAAUGUGCAUAAAAAGAAUGUUUCAUAAACUUUAAGAAUCAGAAAAAGAAAACAGGUGAGAGAUGAGGAUCUUGGAAAGAAUGGACAUAAUCUUGCAUUAUUCACUCAACAGUUCUGGAAUUGCUCUUCAGCUUCUAAAAUGAACAAGGAAUUUGUUUAAACUUUGUUUUGCUAGAAGUUUUAAAUAACCACUGAUAUACUUUUGUUGGCAACCUAUCAAAUCACAUAUCCCCCCCCCCCUUUUUUAAUGAAAAAUAGGCUUUGUUAUGGUAUGGCAUAUGACGGAAUUCUGAAUUAGGAUCGGCCAAGGUAUGCUGAGGUAACAAAUUAACCCUGAAGUUUGCCAUGGCUUAACACAUAAUAGUUUCUCUGUCAUGUAACAUGUCUAACAUGGAUCAGAAAGGGGCUUUGUUCCACGUAGUUACUCAGGGAUUAUGGCUGACAGACAUCAGUUGCAACACAUAGAUUCAUGAUUCCUGGGGCAGGAGAGGAGAACAACUGAAGGUCUUGAACCAGUUCUUAGAUGCUUCCUCCAUGCAUUGUCCAGAGCUAUUGACAUGGCCCUAUUUAACUGCAAAUGUGACAGGAAAUGUGGGGAACACAUAAAGGCCUGCAAGUGGACAAUGCCAUAAAUACUGUGCAUGUUGGCAUAUCCCAGGAUUCUGCCCUUAGCUCUCUUUUUCUCCUUAACUAUGCAGUCUCCUAGGUGAUCCUAUCCAAUGUAUAGAUGUUAUUUAUUUCUCUAGCCUGCAAGUUCCCCCAAUCUCCACCUACAUUUGUCCAGUUACCCACCCAGCAUCUUCACUUGGAGCUCCAACAGGCCUCUGGGGCUAACUUUUCCCACACAGAAUCUUUAAUGUUUACCUCCUAAGACCGCUCACUCCUCAAGUUUUUCUCAUCUCAUGGCAGUACCCAGUUGCCCAUGUAAUCCUUGAAUCUAUACCUUAACCUAACACUCCCUAUCAAAUUCACCACAAAUUCCUGUAGCCUCUGUAAUGCAGGGAGUGCUGGACUUUUAGUCAUGUUUUCAAAUAAAGAUUUAAUUAUAGUCUUCACUGAAGAUGCGCCAAGUGUGAAAGGGCUUGAUCUACUCAGAAUGUAAGAUCAGGGAGGAAAGACAGCAUGGGUUUCCCAGGCACUUAAAUACUUUCAACAAUAGCAUUAAGAGUGAAAUUAAUUAUAUUGGUACCAAAUGCUGGCCUGUUGGUUAAUAGGAGUCAUGAAAUUUCUAUUCUUCUUGUUUAUAAGUUUUUUAACUAAAGGGUUUUUCUUUUCUUAUUCUGAGAUUAACACUAAAAGUAAUAGACUUAUAUCUACAGUACUUCAAAGAUCUUUGAAGAUGCACAUCUUUGAAACUUUAGAGACUCAUUUUUGUCAUCUAGUCCGUGGUCAUUUUGUGUAAAUGUCUCAUGUGUGCUCAUGAAGAAUAUGGGUUCACUCGUCGUUGGAUGCAGAGCUCUUUGCAUGUCUAAUUAAGUUUAUUUAUUGUGUUGUUCAAAUCUUCAUAAGUCAAUACAUAAAUCUAAAACUUAAAAAAAAUUUCUAUGGGGUUUAUCACCAAGUUAUGUGUUGAGUCCAUCACUCUUCCCUUACUACAUCCUGUCCUGAGCUUCGUUGUCUCUUGCCUGGAUGAUUGUGAGAGCUUGUUAACACAGCUCUGCUGCCUGUGCUCUUGUAUACCAUACACCAUCUCCUACUCAGCUGCCAAAGUGAUGUCUUUAUAAUCACAUCGUGCCAGCCCCUUGCUGGAAAAUUCUCUAAUGGAGUCUUAUCGCCACUAGAAUAAAGUCCCACCUCCUUAUCCAACCUCCCACAAGGCCAAGGUGACUUGGAUCCCCUCUAGAUCUCUAAACUCAUUUCCCUAUUCACUCCCCCUCCCCACCAAGCUCCAGCUAUAAUGCUUCUCUCUGCUCCUAGACCCUGACAUGCUCACUCAUGUCUCAGGGUCCUUGCAUUUUUUGUUACUUCUGUUUACAAAGUUCUUUCCCAAGACAUUGAGUGCUUUUCUCCUUCUCAGCUUCCCAAUCCUAACUCAAGUCACCUCAUCAAGAGGGCUUCCCUCAAGCAAAGUAGCCUGCCAGUCACCAUCUAUCAUCCUAUUUUAUCUGGAACUAUAUCACUUAUUCACUGUUUUUACAGGUUUAUCACCUGUCUCUGCUAGAAUAUAAAUUCCUUGAGGCUAGGGACUAUCAUGUUCUUUUUCAUGUCUUCAGUGCCUAGAACAGUGCCAGACACAAUUUACAAACUCAAUCAAUAUUUGCCAUCAUUGGAAAUCAUGUUCCUAAAGAAUAUCUAAUAAUAUGGUAACAUUCCCCUGAUAGGUGAAUAAAUGGGAGGUGGGGGCGGUGGCGGGAAGGGUAAGAUAGAAAACUAUUCACUGUGAGACUGAUUUUAUAAGAAAAAAUUCAGGCAUUUAAAAAAAGACAAGAAGAAACAUGUUAUUUGUGUCAAAGGUUUCUCUAGGCAAUAUUUAUAAUGUUAAAAACUCUUGUGCUCUUUUAUUACUAAAGGAUUUUUUCCAUAAAUAUACGUGAGCGGUCUUUCACAAAGAAAAUUAUUCAGAGGGCGGAUGAGAGAGAAUGUAUAUAUUGUUCUUUGUAUGUAGCCACUCACAUGCUAAGGCAAGCCAACUUAGUAUUAUUACCAUUUAAUAGAGUAGAGCUGAAUAUUCAAAAAGAAAUCUGAGUUGAUGGUUAUGUGUAUUCUUGAUUUAUUCUGUUUACUUUUACAGACUUUGGCUCUGAUUAUGUCACUUUAUGAUUCUAAGAUCAAGUUCUUUAAGACCAGAAUAGAGACAAGAAAAUUUUAAGACUAAAACUGGACAGACAAAACUGACAUCAGAUAUCAGUACAAACCGAGAGACUCCAGGACCAACUGAGAAUUGUGGUUUUGCAAUUACCCAAGUUAUUUCUAACAACACUACUUUGCUUUGUCCCACUAUUGCUUUCAAGUUGGAAAUUAUAGUGGUUUAUGCAAAUUUAAUAAAAGAGAAAGUCUUCGACUUUUACUGGCAGGGAUUUUCUUGCACCACCCACUGUCAUAAUUGAUUACAUGCUGUACCCUGAUGGAAACACAGAAUUUCUAGGCCAACACAAAAUCACAAAUACAUGGUAAACCAUCUGCUUUGUCCAGUGACUGAGAAAUAAUAAUGUGACCGAUGAUCCGAGUGAGAAGGGGCUGCCAGUCCAACUGUGCCCAGUCCUCCAUCAGCUUGAUGUCUGAAGGUGGAGGGAGAUUUGUUUUGGCAGCCGCUCUGCCAGCAUCUGACAUCUGUCACCCAUAGUUCUCCAUUAUCGCUCGUUCCAAAAAAUCAUAUCUGUCAGUCAAAUAGCUUUUCUACUGAUGGACAGUCGAAGGAUGCCUUCUCAGCCUGACGUGCUUCUGGGGAACUCCCCUUUAUUUGAAUACAUGUAUCCACUAAUCCCUUUUCAUGCCUUGCCUUUGAGCCUGUCACUUAGUGGGGAAAAGAACUCUCCCCAAGCCCAAGUUCAUUGCUAUUUGGAAGAAUGGCAGCAGCACGGAGGGGAUACAAUGAAGGUUAUAAAUGCUUACAGUUUCACUGUUAUGGUAUCAAGAGUACUCUCCUCUAGCAGGAUCCACAGAAAAACAACAUUCCCCCCUCCACCGCUGGCCUUUUGGAAAAUUAACAUAUGCAUAUAUAACACCUUUAAAAACAAUUCACACAGUAUUGAUGUGUUUGCAUGUAUCGGACUGGCCCAUUCUUGUUCUUGCUGUGUAGUACACUUUACAUAGACUGCCUCACUUAAUCCUCUUAAUCCAGCGAGGUCUCCUGUUUUAUAAAAGAACAGUCUCAGAGCUCAUACAGUGGCAGCCUUGGGAUUCAAAGGCAGAUCUUCUUGCUUAAGUGAGACUCUUUCCACUAUGGCACCCUGACUCUCCCCAUCACAAUACACAUGACAGUCUGUAUGAAACAUACAAAUGUAUGGUACAGUCAGUAGUACUCCAGGCAAAUAGGAAGUACUAGGGAGGUGGCGAGUGGGAAGG